UGGGGAAUUUUCCGCAAUGGGCGCAAGCCUGACGGAGCAAUACCGCGUGAGGGAGGAAGGCUUUUGGGUUGUAAACCUCUUUUCUCAGGGAAGAAGCUCUGACGGUACCUGAGGAAUCAGCAUCGGCUAACUCCGUGCCAGCAGCCGCGGUAAUACGUAGGGUCCUAGCGUUAUCCGGAAUCAUUGGGCGUAAAGAGCUCGUAGGCGGCUCAGCAAGUCGGCUGUGAAAGUCCGAGGCUCAACCUCGGAAUUGCAGUCGAUACUGCUGUGACUUGAAUUCGGUAGAGGAGAAUGGAAUUCCCGGUGUAGCGGUGAAAUGCGCAGAUAUCGGGAGGAACACCAGUAGCGAAGGCGGUUCUCUGGGCCGAUAUUGACGCUGAGGAGCGAAAGCGUGGGGAGCAAACAGGAUUAGAUACCCCCGUAGUCC
rnacentral:rRNA from 1 species